CCUACGGGCGGCAGCAGUGAGGAAUAUUGGUCAAUGUGCGAGAGCCUGAACCAGCCAAGUCGCGUGAGGGAGUACUGCCCUAUGGGUUGUAAACCUCUUUUGUCGGGGAGCAAAAGCCGGACGUGUCCGGCUGUGAGAGUACCCGACGAAAAAGCAUAGGCUAACUCCGUGCCCGCAGCCGCGGUAAUACUGAGGAAGCUAGUGUUAUCCGGAUUUAUUGGGUUUAAAGGGUGCGCAGGCGGAUUUUUAAGUCAGCGGUCAAAUCGUGGGGCUCAACCCCAUUCAUCCGUUGAAACUGGGGAUCUUGAGUGGGCGAGAGGUAUGCGGAAGGCGGGGUGUAGCGGUGAAAUGCAUAGAUAUCACGCAGAACCCCGAUUGCGAAGGCAGCAUACCGGUGCACAACUGACGCUCAGGCACGAAAGCGUGGGUAUCGAACAGGAUUAGAUACCCGGGUAGUC
rnacentral:rRNA from 1 species